AUUGAACGCUAGCGGGGUGCUUUACACAUGCAAGUCGAACGAGUGGCGGACGGGUGAGUAAUAUAUCGGAACGUGCCCAAUAGAGGGAGAUAACUACUCGAAAGAGUGGCUAAUACCGCAUACUGUUGGAGCGGCCGAUAGUGGAUUAGCUAGUUGGUGGGGUAAAGGCUAACCAAGGCAACGAUCCGUAGCUGGCUUGAGAGGACGACCCGCCACACUGGGACUGAGACACGGCCCAGACUCCUACGGGAGGCAGCAGUGGGGAAUCUUGUGCAAGGGACGAAACUCUGAUCGAGCCAUCCCGCGUGUAUGAGAAGGCUUUCGGGUUGUAAAGUACUUUUGUCAGAGAAGCGGUAUCUGCAGAAUAAGCACCGGCUAACUACGUGCCAGCAGCCGCGGUAAUAC
rnacentral:rRNA from 1 species